rnacentral:rRNA from 1 species
CAGCAGCCACGGUAAUACGUAGGGUGCGAGCGUUAAUCGGAAUUACUGGGCGUAAAGCGUGCGCAGGCGGUUGUGUAAGACAGGUGUGAAAUCCCCGGGCUUAACCUGGGAACUGCGCUUGUGACUGCACAGCUAGAGUAUGGCAGAGGGGGGUGGAAUUCCACGUGUAGCAGUGAAAUGCGUAGAGAUGUGGAGGAACACCGAUGGCGAAGGCAGCCCCCUGGGCCAAUACUGACGCUCAUGCACGAAAGCGUGGGGAGCAAACAGGAUUAGAUACCCCCGUAGUCCCUGUCUCUUAUAC